UUACUCAUAAGGUUGCAUUUGGAGUUUGGAAGCAUCAUUUUCGAAGAGAUGAAGAAUUAGGUGCAUUUUUGAAAACUUGAUUCAAUUGCCAUGCAUGAGCUGAUUACAUCUAUUUUGCACGUCCAUUUCAUUUAAUUAUGAUCUCAGCUUGCCAAGCCAUGUAGAAUUGGGCCCUCCAUGCGCUUGUACAGGCCCAUGCAUGGAGGCCCUUUCCAUUCAUGCAAAUUUGAAGUCACACAUUCA
rnacentral:lncRNA from 1 species